UUUUUUUUUUUUUUUUUUUUUUUUUGUUGAUAAAAACAGGUUGAAAUUUUGAAUCCGGUAGUAAAAUGUUUCCUGGUUCCUGUAUUGAAUUCGCAUGCAGCAUUUUUUUCCCCAGUUUUGGAAAGUACAAAAUCAUUUUUUUAAAAAUAAAAAAAGAAAUCAAUAGUCUGAAUCCAAAAGGAACACGGAUUCCCUUAACAUAAUCUCUCAGGGUUUAUUCUGAUAUAAAUUAUAAAUUUGUCAGAUAUCUCUCAGCUCUCAGACGAUGCUAGAAAACUGAAAUAUUUCUGACGGAUUCAUGCGUUGAAACGAUGGAAAAACCAAGCCUAGAGGAUGCAUUGGAUUUCAUCUUUGAAGUGAAACGAGCAUUAAUCAGUCAUCCAAACCAAGAAAAUAACAAGUACAAUCAGUUCUGUUUUGCCCUCGAUGAGUUCUAUCGUCAAAAAAUCAGUGCAGAAUUUUUAGUAUCAACAUUGGAAAGUUUAUUUGAAUCCCAUGAAAAUUUGCUCUCAGGGUUCAAGAAUUUCUUGCCUGAGGAUCAAGAAACUAAAAGGGUCACUAAUUCUUGUCGAAACAAGGGAAAUUCUGUACCUGAAUUCCAGAGACAAGCAUGCAAUGAGUUUAUUUUUAAAGUCAGGGAUCGAUUCAGGAACAACCCUGAAGUAUACGCUUCAUUCUUGGACAUAUUGGUCUUGUAUGGAAGGGGCGAUAAAAGUAUGAUCGAGGCUUAUGAGAUGAUUUACAAUCUGUUCUUUGGCCAUGCUGAUUUGAUACGUGAUUUUGACAGUUUCUUCAGUGAUCGAGAUGAGAAAGUUCGAAAAGAGAUCGAAAAGAUUCAGGGUUUUGUAGAUGAAGACUGGUUGCAUGAAGCUGAUAGAUGGAAGUCUCUACUGUCUUCAGCCAAAAAGGUAGCCAAGAGAGUCAUAGCUGGAGAAUGUCUUGAUGAUGAUACCAAAUUCACGCCCAUGAACUUACGUUGCAUUGAGAAUUUGUAUGGCGAAUAUGGUCCAGAAGUAAUGCAGGAGUUGAACAACAAUCCUGGAAGGGUUUUGCCCAUUAUUUUACCUCGUUUGAACCAGAAAAAGUUGGAACUUAAACGGGUUAAAUCUUGUAUGAUCAAAUUCUUGCGUGAAUGUCGGCAUCGCCGUCAUGGAAUAGAAUGAUUUCUUGCUUCUGUUUUUUAUUUUCUUCCCCUUCUUUUGUUUUUUAAUUUUUUAACAUCCUUUUCUUGUCUAUAUGCUUGAUUUUACUCUAAGCCUGCAGGCCUGCCAGUAUGGUUCUUCAGUUUCAUGAAGAAAGAACAUCUGAACAAUUCUGACAAUAAAGAUUGAUUUUGGUCUGAAAUCUGAAUACAAAGUAUAGAAGAUGGGAUUCUGUGGUGAAGCGGCCAAUUCUGGAGUCGAGUGCUAAAUAUGUUUCUUCAUAGUAUGUCUCCUGCCCAAUGCUUCCAUAAUCAAUCAAGACGAUACUAGCAAAUCCAUCACCCCAUUGUCAACAGUUCAAAGACUGAACUUAACUGGAAGGUGAAUUGGUGUGUGGUAUUCCUAGUAAAGUUUACAGAAAAAUGCAGUUUUGGUACCCAAACUUUGACACAUGAACAGUUUUAAUCUCCAAAUUUUGGACAAAAACAAAUCUAGUACCCAAUUUUUCAACUAUUGAGCACAUUUAGUACCCUUGAUGGAUUUUUCCCAAAUUACUACUGAAAAAAGUUACGUAAUAGUCAUAUGUCCGAAAACUAUUGUAUAAAAAAAUGCCAAAAAAAUGUUAAGGACUAAUAAUUUUAUCAAAUAAAAUAUUAUUCUGACACUAAGUACUAAAUUUAAAAACUAAUAAUUUUAUCAAAAGGAUAUUUUACAUUUUAUGAUAUUUUUUUAUUAAUAGUCGUUAAACAUGUGACUAUCACAUGACUCUCUCAAGUAGCAAAAUGGGAAAAACCAUCAAUAGUACUAAAUGUGCUCAAAAAUUGAAAGUUUGGGUACCAAAUUUGUUUUUGUCCAAAGUUUGGGAAUUAAAACUCCUCAUCUGUCAAAGUUUGGGUACCAAAACUGCAUUUGUCUCUAAAGUUUAUAUAAUCUGAAAUCCCUUUAGAUCACAAAUCAGGUUAUCUUUGCAACUGUAGUACCUCAAUUUCAUGCGUACUAAUUAGACUCCAAAGUCUAAAUAUCAUCCCAAUGAAGUAUUGAAUCUAAGCCUUGUAUACAUUUGCACACAGUAAAAGGGCGUCUUUUCUGUCAGGACUUAGAACUGAAUACUGAUUGUCUCGCCUUCCACUUUCUGUUUAUUAGUAAAUCCGAUGGAAUGCAAGCAACCAGAGACAGGUUCUUUUGACAAUUUACAAAGAUCGAUUCUCUUUUUCCUAGUGAUUAGUACUGAUAGACUACAAUUUCACUGAAAGAUGCCUGUAUUUUGACAAAGGUUUGAUAUUGCUUCAAGUGCUUUUGAUAUAUAUAAUCAGCAAAAUCUUUGAAAAAUCUGCCUGUUCCAGUUAAAUCUAAUGCCCCUUGAAUAAAUCUAAUGCCCGCGGGGCGGUUGUCCGCGGGGGACGGGGGGAACUAAUAGGCAACAGGGCGGGGGAUGGGGGAGGGGUCCCCCGCCCCAACCCCGCCCCGUUGCCAUCCCUAUAUUCAAGGUUACAUUUUAAUUUUGCAAGUAAUUGCCACAUUUACGUUCUUCUGACUUGCUGUGCUAUAAUCAGAGAAGCAUUCCAGUAUUGCUACAAUACCUCAAUCAUCUUCAUAACUAUUUCUUGAUAUUCAUGCACUUGAAUAAUUCAUAUGAUGCUUGGGAUUCAGUCGAGAAUAUGAAUAAAACCAAUAUGGAAAUUAAAAGACUUCUUUCUUAAACAACAAAAUAACCCUGACUUUGAAUUAAGUGACUACAGAACUUGUACAAGUUUAGAGAGGAAAAAAGCCUUUGAUUAAGAAAUCUUUCGGCCCUGUAUUAAAAAUGAAUGCUGUUUCUAAAAGGAGAGUAACAUUUUAUACAUGAUAUUUAUGGUAAACGCAAUGCCAAUUUCUAACUAACCUGUAGUGUGCAUUGUACAAAACCAGUAUACCGUCACAGCUUCAGAGUAAAACAAACGCAUCAUGACCGAUUGAACACUGGAGACUCAUUUAUUAAUCUAUAAACCCCAAGAGCAAAA
rnacentral:lncRNA from 1 species